UACCAAAAACAUCGCCUCCUGCAAUAUAAAGUAUAGGAGGUCCAGCCUGCCCAGUGACUACGGGUUCAACGGCCGCGGUAUAUUGACCGUGCAAAGGUAGCGCAAUCACUUGUCUUUUAAAUAGAGACCUGUAUGAAUGGCUAGACGAGGGCUUAACUGUCUCCCCCCUUCAGUCAGUGAAAUUGAUCUAUCCGUGCAGAAGCGGGUAUAAUACUACAAGACGAGAAGACCCUUUGGAGCUUAAGGUACAAAAUCCAGUCAUGUUAAACAACUCCAUAAAAAGCAGGAACUUAAUGGUCAUGGAAUUUUCUUCGGUUGGGGCGACCACGGAGGANAAACAAUCCUCCGAGUGGAAUGGGCCAAAACCCCUAAAGCCAAGAGAGACAUCUUUAAGCCGCAGAACAUCUGACCAAUAAUGANNNNNCUAAAAAGCCGAUCAACGGACCAAGUUACCCUAGGGAUAACAGCGCAAUCCUCUCCCAGAGCCCAUAUCGACGAGGGGGUUUACGACCUCGAUGUUGGAUCAGGACAUCCUGAUGGUGCAGCCGCUAUUAAGGGUUCGUNUG
rnacentral:rRNA from 1 species